GUGCUUCCUCUGUGGCCCCUGAUGUGUUGGUCUACUGUGGUUCCUUGUUCCCAAAGCUGCACGAUGUAAAUAAUUCACAUGUGAAACCUCAAGUUAUGGAAACUCUUGGUGUUCAUAACUGUGUUUUUCCCUCUCUGCUUCAUUUGAAGGCUGAUGAUACCUACCUCCAGCUGAAGAAAGACCUGGAGUACCUGGAUCUAAAGAUGACAGGCCGGGACCUUCUCAAGGAUCGAAGUCUGAAGCCUGUGAAGAUCGCUGAGAGCGACACUGACGUCAAACUGAGCAUCUUCUGUGAACAAGACAGGGUCCUCCAGGACUUGGAAGACAAGAUACGAGCCCUUAAAGAGAACAAAGACCAGCUAGAAUCUGUGCUAGAGGUGUUGCACAGACAGAUGGAGCAGUACCGAGACCAGCCCCAGCACUUGGAGAAGAUUGCCUACCAGCAGAAGUUGCUGCAGGAGGACCUUGUCCAUAUCCGAGCUGAGCUCUCCAGAGAGUCCACUGAGAUGGAAAAUGCUUGGAACGAAUACCUGAAGUUGGAGAAUGAUGUGGAACAGCUGAAG
rnacentral:sRNA from 1 species